CGACUUGCUCGCCUGUUUUACAAAAACAUGGUUUUUUGUUUAUAUAAAAAAUCUGACCUGCCCCAUGACAAAAUUAAAUGGCUGCAGUAUUUUGACUGUACAAAGGUAGCAUAAUCAUUUGUCUCUUAAUUGGAGACUGGUAUGAAUGGUUGGAUGAGAAAUUAGCUUUCUUAUUUUUAUAUAAAAAAAUUAAUUUUUGUGUGAAAAAGCAUAAAUGUUUUUGGGGGACGAGAAGACCCUAUAGAAUUUUAUUAAUUAUAUAUUCUCUCUAAUUUGGACUAAUUUUUGGGAGGAAUAUAUAAUUAAUUAUGUUGGGGUGACAUAAAAAAUAUAAUAACUUUUUUUAACAUUAAUCAUUUAUUUAUGAUUGGUGACCCUUUAUUAUGGGUUAUAAGAUCAAAUUACCUUAGGGAUAACAGCGUUAUUUUUUUGGAGAGCACUUAUCGAUAAAAAAGUUUGCGACCUCGAUGUUGGAUUAAAAUAAGGAGCAGGAGUAGAAUAUUGCUUGUCUAGGUCUGUUCGACCUAUAAAUUUUUACAUGAU
rnacentral:rRNA from 1 species